rnacentral:rRNA from 1 species
GAUGAACGCUAGCGGCAGGCCUAACACAUGCAAGUCGAGGGGUAAAAAAGUGCUUGCACUUUUGAGACCGGCGCACGGGUGAGUAACGCGUAUGGAAUCUGCCUUGUACAGGGGAAUAGCCCAGGGAAACUUGGAUUAAUGCCCCAUAGCAUCAAGGAACGGCAUCGUUCUUUGAUUAAAGAUUUAUCGGUACAAGAUGAUCAUGCGUACCAUUAGCUAGUUGGUGUGGUAACGGCACACCAAGGCUACGAUGGUUAGGGGCCCUGAGAGGGGGAUCCCCCACACUGGUACUGAGACACGGACCAGACUCCUACGGGAGGCAGCAGUGAGGAAUAUUGGACAAUGGGCGAGAGCCUGAUCCAGCCAUGCCGCGUGCAGGAAGACGGCCCUAUGGGUUGUAAACUGCUUUUACAGAGGAAGAAACACCCCCACGUGUGGGGGCUUGACGGUACUCUGCGAAUAAGGAUCGGCUAACUCCGUGCCAGCAGCCGCGGUAAUACGGAGGAUCCAAGCGUUAUCCGGAAUCAUUGGGUUUAAAGGGUCCGUAGGCGGGCAGCUAAGUCAGUGGUGAAAGUCUGCAGCUCAACUGUAGAAAUGCCAUUGAUACUGGUUGUCUUGAAUCGUUGUGAAGUGGCUAGAAUAUGUGGUGUAGCGGUGAAAUGCUUAGAUAUCACAUAGAAUACCGAUUGCGAAGGCAGGUCACUAACAACGUAUUGACGCUGAUGGACGAAAGCGUGGGGAGCGAACAGG